rnacentral:lncRNA from 1 species
GUGAGAUAUUAUGGACUAUCUGGAAGGGUCCAAUCUAAUUAAAUAAGUCAUUAGAAGCAAAAAAUUUUUCUUGGUUGGGUUUGAGAAAUGAAAAUGAAGGAGGAAAGACUUGAGAUGAAGGAAGUCCUUGACCCACCAUUGUUGGCUUUGAAUGUGGAUGAAAGUCAUCAUAAGCCAAGAAAUAUAAGUGGUCUCUGGAGGCUGAAAAGGUAAAGAACUGGAAGUACCCCUAGGACCUCCAUUAAAGAAUGCAGCUCUGGCCACACAUCAAUGGUAGACAUCUGUCCAAUGUUGGACAUCUGACCUACAAAGUCAUGAGAUGAUAAAAUUGGUUAUAAGAUACUCAAUUUGUUGUGAUUUGUUACAGAAGCGAUAGAAAAUCAAUAUAGUCUGUAAAUGAUAUCAUGUCUUUGCAAUUAUAUGCCUUCACCUGCAAUUUGUCUCUUGUCUACUCAGAGCAUUCAAUCUUCCUUUAAAGUAUCUCAUGGUCGCCAUCUGUGGUUCCUUCAAGUGAAACCACCAGAGAAAAUUAAUUUCUUCUUUCUGUUUUUGUAUUUUGAGAUACAUCUAUUUUUGUAUACACUGUGCAUUAUUAUCAACAUUUUUAAAUAUGUCUAUGGCCCUUCAUGCUUGAUAGAACCUUGCUGUAUUCAUCUUUGAGGUCUAGUAUUCAGCUUGUAAAUUCUCAAUAAUUUUCUUCAAACUGUUGUUCAUUUAAACUUAUAACUAGGGAUAUAUUUGGAAGAACACAUUUUUAUUCAGUCAUUUCAAUUCUAAGUAUCUGUCACUCUAGGUAAAUGUAAAAUAGGAAUAAAGCAAAGUAUUUUGGCUACAACAUGGGCUUAGAAGAGCAGAGAAUUGCUGCACAAAACUGGCUGCCUUGCCCACAGCUUCUCCUCUCCUUUCUGUGUGGUUGGCAAGGUUCACAGGAUGCACAGAGAGAUCUGGGACUGUUCUUUCACCACAGCUGUCUGGUUCCUUCUUUGGUGGCCUGCCACAGGAAUGUGAGGGGAAGACCAGAGGAGGCAAACAGGACCUCCCAAGAGUUAAGGUAACAAAUUCAAUGGACAUUGUGGAUGAACAAUGCAGGUGCCUAGCUAUAUGGGUAACUUCAAAGUUAAGUUACAAUAAUUUAAAAUGUACAAAUAACUAAAAGCAUGCUGAUGUACAUACAUGUCCAUAAGUGUCAUUCCUGUUAAAACAUAUUUGUCCUUUUGAAACUGCAAUUAUUUGGAUUUUUAACAAUAUUUUAACCCUUAUUUAAUAGAUCUCUACCUUCAAAGAUCCUGGCUUAUUUUUGACAGGAAGUGAGCCAGACUUAAAUCCAGAUACCUCCUUAAGAACUUCAAAGGGUGUACCAGUGACUAAAAGCAAAGAACCUAACAUGACCAAAGCCAUGAAGAGCAUUCACAUGAGGGUCAGAACAAAACUGGGGUCAGGAAACACAGCCAGGUUAAAACAAGUGGAAGGACUAAAGUCACAAUAGAGGAAUGAGAAGAGUUGGGGUGGAGGUUGGAAUUUGCAUGAGGCCCAGAAAUUCUGUUGAUGUGACUCUAACCCGUCAGCUUUUAGUUCUUCACAUGCAGAGCGCCUCCCACCUCCACGCACAUGUCAAGGAGCUCAGUGGGUUUAGGUAGUGAGAAACCUAAAAUAGAACUUGGGCCAUCUCUCAGGCAAGGGUUGCAAAUGUAUGAAGAAGAUGUGCACAGCAGUCAUUUGUUUAUUUCACUUUGUAAAGUGAUGAAAGUCACUGCCCUGACUGUCCUGAGAGGCUAUCACUGUAAACAUUAGUGAAUCCAGAGGACAGCAGGUUGGGGCUCUCAGUGUGCCCCAGUUCUAGGCUGUGACAAAUUCAGGUAGGGGACAUAGGGUGCUCUUCACUUUCAGGUUUUGAAGAUGCUUCUGUUCAUAGUGAUCCUGCCAGUAUUUAUCAAUAACAAUUUAUUAGCAUGGAGGUGACUUGGAGUGCCUUCCACUUCUUUUCCUAGCAGGCAGCCUGUGAUGGAUAAUGAUGCCUUUUGUUGCUACACAGAUGUGGUCUUUAAAAAAGAACAAAAACUGAAAGUUGCAACUUCAACUUCUGUAUUGAUACCAUAAAAUGGAACUUCAGAACAGAAAUGGAAGUGUUUGAAUUCCACUCACGCUAAUUCUCUGCUAAGGAGGCUUUAAAUCCUGGCAGCAUAUUUGGAUCAGCCAUUGACUUUUUGUUAAAUUUAUUCCCAAGCAUUUUUCUUUCUGAACCUAUUGUAAGUAAAAAUUUUCUUCAAUUUCAUAUUUUAGAUAAUUUAUUGCUUGUGUAUGGAAGCCAAUUUAUUCACUAAAACUACUACUUAACACAUAAAUAGAGACUUCACAUCAGAACCCUGGUAUAAGCCUUUUCGUGAUUUCUGCAAAUGUCUGGAGCAGAAUAUCUUUGACUUUCUUGUUUUCUUGAUGUAUCCUGGAGCUUCUAGAACACUAACACUAAGGUACUAAAAAACUAUUUAAUGAUUAAGGCCCCUAUAUCUCAAACAUUCCUCUAUGAGAACACUCAUUCCACUGUAUUGAAAUGUUCAUGUCUGUCCACCAGGGACAAAGCUCUCUGAAGGCAGGGAUUGUUCUAGGGUCCCAAGAACCUUGCAGGGUACACGGCACACAGAGAGUGCUCAGCACAUGUCUGAAGAAUCUAUUGGUAUGCAGCAGGAUGUGUGUUGGUGCUAUGAAGAGCCACCCACUUCACUGAAGGAGAUCUCUCUGUGUGGCUUUCUUUCCAUAUGCACAUGUGAAUUGGGCCAAAUUGAUCAUCAAGGGCAUCAUGGAAGAAUAUUAAAAAAUUAGUCACAGAAGCAACAUCAACAGCCUGAAAGGUGUGUAUCUGUGUCUGUGUGUGAGCAAAGGGAAAAUGACAUUAACUUAAUUAUACACUUCCCAAACAUAGAGUGGAAUGAACAAGCAUCAAAUAUUUUCUCCUGAAAGCUUGCUUUCCAGGGAUAGCCCUUAACUCAACAUAAUAUACCUGUCCCAGGAUACAUAACUAAGCCCAUAGUUACUUGAUACAAAUAACUUCAGUAGAUAGGUGGGCCAAACUUAAGAAUCAGAAAGAUGCUGGGUGCAGCUAAGGCAGGGGAAUCUCGAGUUCAAAGCCAGCCUCAGCAACUUCAUGAGUUGCUAAGCAAAUGAGUGAGACCCUGUCUAUAAAUAAAAUAAUAAAAUAAAAUAAAAAAGGGUUGGGGAUGAGGCUCAGCGGUUAAGUCCCCUGAGUUCAAUCCCCAGUACCAAAAAAAAAAAAAAAAUCAGAAAGAUUAAAAAAUUCCUUAGUAAAGCAGAUAAUCCAACGCCUGAAAUGUUAGAGUACCAACAAACACUUCUUAUAGAGCAAGAUAACAGAAUUUUAAAAUAACUCAUUGGGUAUUAUAAAGUGUUAUAUUUAAACCUGUGGUUAAUCAGAAUCUUUUAGUUUAUAUACUAAUAUGAAUCAGUUGGCUGUCUUAUAAAUUUCUUUUAAUACUGCAAUUUACUUGUAACAGAAAAUAGUUAUUACCCACGGCAAUUACAUAACAGAUUAUCCUGUAAUUUUCUCAGAAAAGGGUGGGAUAUUCAGAAAUUAGUAAUUUUCCAAGAAAUUUGUUUUUUUUACAAAUGUUACAAGAAAUUUAUAUUUAGAGACAUGGAUGGUUCUUUAGCUUAUCUUAAUUUCUGAAAAAGCAGGGAAAACCAUACAAUAUAAUUUUAACUUUUUUACUCGAUGCCAACUUUCAUACUCAAGCAAAGUAGAAAAAAAAUUUUUAAACAGAUUUAACAAACACAUCUCCAAGAACAGCUGUUUCUAGUUCACAAA